GUCGACCGCCUGGGGAGUACGGCCGCAAGGUUAAAACUCAAAUGAAUUGACGGGGGCCCGCACAAGCGGUGGAGCAUGUGGUUUAAUUCGAUGCAACGCGAAGAACCUUACCUACUCUUGACAUCCAGAGAACUUAGCAGAGAUGCUUUGGUGCCUUCGGGAACUCUGAGACAGGUGCUGCAUGGCUGUCGUCAGCUCGUGUUGUGAAAUGUUGGGUUAAGUCCCGCAACGAGCGCAACCCUUAUCCUUUGUUGCCAGCGAUU
rnacentral:rRNA from 1 species